UAAUGAGUGGGUGGAGAAGGCUCCUUCACUCUUCAGACUUGUGAGGUCUCCUUUAAGGUGUGUACUACUGUUGGAUAAAGAGACAAACUUGCAGUGAUGUGUCUGUCAGCACUGCUUAGAGUGAAGGAGCAAGGUAGAAAUUGCACAAGAGUCUAUUACUGUUGCCUUCAAGGUGUCUCCAGGAGGUCACGUGUUUCCUGUAGAUUGUGCAUGAUAUCUAAUAGCUCCAUCUGGACUUUAAGCUCUCUUCACCCCUUCUGCCCUCCUUCAUUCAGCCUGGUAGCAUCACACACUGGAAACACACAACAGGGAAGGAAUAUGGACUGCCACACUCAUCGUGCCUUUAGAAAGCUUAGGGGAUGACAUACACUGUUCACAUUCACAGUGGUAAGGAAAAGAAAACAGGAGGAAAGUGUUUACACUCACUGAGAGCUUUCUGAAAUGGUUUUGCCUCUGCUGACAGGGAAGGUGCCACUGUUAUCCUCCACACAUUCUUAUUAGACCUCCAGCUGCUGUGGGAGCGGGCGCUUGCAAGUUCUCCUCCAGGAUGAGCAAGCAUAUCACACUCUGUGCUCAUUCCUCAAAAUGUCCCCAGUGGAGGCCUUGUUUUGCCAAGCAACAGGUUUGUUACAUCCUUGCAAGUUAAAGUGUAAUGCAAAAGGAAAAAAAAAAAGAAAGAGAAGAGAAAGAGAAAGAGAGAGAAAGAAAGAGAGAGAAAGAAAGAGAAAGAGACAGAGAAAGAAAGAGAAAGAGAGAGAGAGAGAGAAAGAGAAAUAAAUAAAUAAAGAAAGAAAGAAAGAAAG
rnacentral:lncRNA from 1 species